AUUGAACGCUGGCGGCAGGCCUAACACAUGCAAGUCGAGCGGAUGAAGGGAGCUUGCUCCUGGAUUCAGCGGCGGACGGGUGAGUAAUGCCUAGGAAUCUGCCUGGUAGUGGGGGAUAACGUCCGGAAACGGGCGCUAAUACCGCAUACGUCCUGAGGGAGAAAGUGGGGGAUCUUCGGACCUCACGCUAUCAGAUGAGCCUAGGUCGGACUAGCUAGUUGGUGGGGUAAAGGCCUACCAAGGCGACGAUCCGUAACUGGUCUGAGAGGAUGAUCAGUCACACUGGAACUGAGACACGGUCCAGACUCCUACGGGAGGCAGCAGUGGGGAAUAUUGGACAAUGGGCGAAAGCCUGAUCCAGCCAUGCCGCGUGUGUGAAGAAGGUCUUCGGAUUGUAAAGCACUUUAAGUUGGGAGGAAGGGCAGUAAGUUAAUACCUCGCUGUUUUGACGUUACCAACAGAAUAAGCACCGGCUAACUUCGUG
rnacentral:rRNA from 1 species